rnacentral:lncRNA from 1 species
AAAUCAUGGAACCGAGGGGAUCGAUGGCAUUUUGGCUUAGUCGUUGCACCCUGAGCCUGCGAUGAGCUAACGCAAACUCGAUUUCUCGACUACGAAAAAAACAGGAAAAGACAGAAAAAGAGGGAUUUAAGACACUUGGCCUACAGGCCAGUGUAAUGAGGUAUAUGAAGGGUUAUAAAAUGUGUGUGUUCUCUAUAUUGGUGUAUAUAGGACAUGGAAUUAUUACCGUAUUUUGUGCCAUAAAUUAGCAUACGCGCUUAUUUUCAAAAUGGCGG